rnacentral:tRNA from 1 species
AAGCCGGUGGCGCAAUGGUAGCGCGUCCGACUCCAGAUUAGAAGGUUGCGUGUUCGAAUCACGUCCGGCUCG